CCCGCUGAUACUCGAAGUUUUUCUUCGCACCUUUUUUUUAUCUGAUCUGACUUAUCUUCUGCUUGUAGUUGGCACAUGACAUGUUCGACUUGGAGGUCAGCUACCGGAAGGUUGCCAACUUCCAUCAGACAUGGAUGGAUAAAGUGGUGGCCGCCAAUGUUGAGAAAGCGGCUACCCUUGAACAACUUUAGAUGGCGACUGAGCAG
rnacentral:lncRNA from 1 species